rnacentral:lncRNA from 1 species
AAGGCCAUCACCCAGGUCAGCAAGGGCACCUGCGAGCAAGGCCCACUUUGCUCUUCCAAAGACUGCAUUGCCUUUACUGAAGGCUAGCUACAUCGAUGGCACACCACAUGAACAUGAUGAGUCGUCCUGUGAAGGAACCAAGCCAUCUGCAAUACAACCGCUGUUUGGAAACUUCAUCUUCUUACUGAGCUUGGCUGUCUGCUACAUGCUCCCUGUGGAGUGGAACAUCCGCAGACAUUUUAAAGGAACAGCUUUGUGUCCCACCAAAGGCACCCAUCCCUGGGUCUCUUAAGCUGCCAGGCGUCAGUGCUGUUUUGCACAGACGAUGCUAUUAAUAGCAUUGCAGUCUUUGGUUUCAAUGUAGAGGCUCUCAGGGACUUACCCUGGGAAUAGAGACAUCAGCAGAUUUCCAGAUGUUUCUUGGUUAUUGGAAUACCCUGACAGAUUUUUAGCUGUCAUGUCCUUCAGUCCAGCAAUCCAGAUGUUCUUUCUCUGCCAUUUGUCAUGGGGUAUAGCCAGGAUCUUAACUACUAGACACCUCUAGUAUUCUAAUAGAGUGUUAAUGGCAUUGGCAACACAGGGUAUGAGAAAUAACCUCAAUUUAAGUUAUUUUGUGGCAUCAGAACACAGUGCCAUUUAUGCUUUCUGUAAAAAUAUCCUUUGUAUCUUCCAGCUUCUGGCACUACUGACUUUGGAUCUGUGGGCAGUAUUUGGAUCAAGAGCAGUACUGUUACAGAUUGAAAACUCAGGGAGACGCACACACAUGUUAGUUUCAGACUUCUGUGUUCCUGAGGAUUGCUUUAACUUGUGAUCUCCCUGGCCCUGCCUCCCCAGGGCUGGAUUUGUAGAAAUGCACAACCAUGCCUGGUUCAUGUGUGCUGAGGACCAAUCCCAGGGUUCUAUGCAUGCUGGGUGCUGAUGACUGAACACUUAGACUCACACAUCAUAUGUGGGUAAGCUCUCCCAUCUACCACCUAGCUUCAGGUUUGUCAGCCAUCUCUCCACAUACACAUUAAGCAUUUGAAAAUAGACACUGCUGAUAUUGGAUGAUGUCAAGGUUCAGAAGACCUUCCAGAGGAUUUCGAGGAUCUUCUGUCCUCAAGGAAUCGAUUACAGAUUUCUACUUGCAGAAAAGCUCAGCUGGACACAGCUCAAGUGAGCUGCACAUAUAUUCUCCCUCUACAACCCACUAUAAAGGAGUGGAUGCUCUCUGGAACAUUCUAACCCCACUGCAGAGGCUCAGAACAGAGUAACAAUCACUGGUGUGGACAAUGUAUCUAAGGCUUAAGCUGGUGAGUAACAC